UUUGGUGGCGAUAGCGAAGAGGUCACACCCGUUCCCAUACCGAACACGGAAGUUAAGCUCUUCAGCGCCGAUGGUAGUUGGGGGUUUCCCCCUGUGAGAGUAGGACGCCGCCAAGC
rfam:Psychrobacillus sp. FJAT-21963 super7, whole genome shotgun sequence.